rnacentral:rRNA from 1 species
AUUGAACGCUAGCUACAGGCUUAACACAUGCAAGUCGAGGGACCGGCGCACGGGUGAGUCACACGUAUCCAACCUGCCCUUUACUCGGGGAUAGCCUUUCGAAAGAAAGAUUAAUACCCGAUAUAAAGGAUGGGGAGGCGUUCCAUUAGGUUGUUGGUGAGAGAACGGCCCACCAAGCCUUCUAUGGAUAGGGGUUCUGAUAGGAAGGUCCCCACAUGUGAACUGAGACACGGACCAAACUCCUAGGGGAGGGAGCAGUGAGGAAUAUUGGUCAAUGGGCGUGAGCCUGAACCAGCCAAGUAGCGUGAAGGAUGAAGGCUUAUGGGUCGUAAACUUCUUUUAUAUAAGAAUAUGUAUUAUAUGAAUAAGGAUCGGCUAACUCCGUGCCAGCAGCCGCGGUAAUUC